rnacentral:lncRNA from 11 species
CCUGGAUGCUGCUGACAGCCUGGCUCCAACAUCGCAGCCUGGCUGUUCAACAUCAGAACAGGCAGGGCCUUCUUCUCCUCUGGAAGUACAGGGAGACUGUGGGCCUUCAGGAGGUCCUUGACGGCGUCCUCAGGGGGCUGCAAUCCCCCCACACCAACAUGACUCCUGAACCUGGCUGGCCGGCUGGGGCUCCUGCGAAGACAGAGCCCCUGCAAAGGCACACCUGGCUGCCAGGUGACGCCUUCUCUUCCACCAUGUGAGUCCUGGCCCCUGGGCCUUUUUGGGGAGGGUGCUGGCUUCCCCCUCUCCCCAAGCAUUGAGAAGGGGAUUCAUGCAAGGAAACAGUGAGAAAUAAGGUCUGCUUUUCCCUCUCCCUUUUAGGAGGCGGCCAAGAUCUUGAAGACAGUCCUGGAAUGCUUCCAGCAUCUUAUCUGGCACCCAGAACUUCAAGAUCAGCCUUUGGGGCAGCAGUUUUUAACUUAUUAAAAGACAUGCCACUUUUUAUUUAGCUGCACCGACAAUGCACUUUAGAGAUCCCAUGGUGCCAGUUUCAAACUGCCAUCUCAAUUUAUUAAACAAGUGGCUCCUUCCCUUUGGGAUGGAAGCCGACAGGUGUGCUCCAGUCAGGUGUGUGUUGUAAGAGCUCACCAGCCAGUCUUGCUUUUUGCCUCUUUUUAUCUUUUUAUCUCAUGUAAUUUUGUUAUCUAGAACACUGCAAAUAAUAAUGAAACCCUUCACUUUGUAGACUGUUUUCCCUGUCCUGAAUGAUCUUUUCCAGUCUUGUCAAUGAAAAGCAAAGGAAGCCCUUUCUGAAUUUUUACUGCUGCAAAACAUUGCAAGAGAAGCAUGGAAAGUGUAUUGCUGAAAAAG